UACGUAGGGUGCAAGCGUUAAUCGGAAUUACUGGGCGUAAAGCGUGCGCAGGCGGUUUUGUAAGUUUGUCGUGAAAUCCCCGGGCUCAACCUGGGAAUGGCGAUGAAGACUGCAAGGCUAGAAUCUGGCAGAGGGGGGUAGAAUUCCACGUGUAGCAGUGAAAUGCGUAGAGAUGUGGAGGAACACCGAUGGCGAAGGCAGCCCCCUGGGUCAAGAUUGACGCUCAUGCACGAAAGGCGUGGGGAGCA
rnacentral:rRNA from 1 species